UCCUGCCUGUCUACCCUCAGACAGCAUUCCAGGUUCCGUGAGGACUGAGACGUUGCACACGGUGUACUCAACCCUGACCCUGGCACGUAGCAGAUACUCACACAAUGGAAAGCUAUUGCGUCUGCCUCUUCACCCCACGUAAAGUGGGAAAGCCCCUCACUCCAGUUCCCGAAUUCAGUUCAAUGACCACACCACAUUGUGGACCCUGCCUUCCCACUCAGACCUUGUGCUCUCCCUGUGAGCUUCAGGCAGCAAACUACAUCGAGUGCCUUCUACAUGUUGAGCCCUGCUCUGCCUUGGUGACAGCAGAAAUGACAAAGGCCCACUCAGAGGGAAAUAGGACAACCAUGUCCUCGGAGUGACACUCGACAGGCUGUACUGGGACCAAGCCCUGGCCCGCUAUUGGUGCCUCUAGGGCACCAUCCACAUAGGAAGGGUUCAAUAAAUGCUAUUUCUCAAUCUCAGCUAAUUGCAUCCCUCAGUUCUAGGAUUGCCAUCUGCUUCCUUUUCUGGG